rnacentral:rRNA from 1 species
GGGGUGCCCGAGUGGCGAACGGGUGAGUAACACGUGAGUAACCUGCCCUCGACUUUGGGAUAACUUCAGGAAACUGGGGCUAAUACCGGAUAGGAGCUCCUGCUGCAUGGUGGGGGUUGGAAAGUUUCGGCGGUUGGGGAUGGACUCGCGGCUUAUCAGCUUGUUGGUGGGGUAGUGGCUUACCAAGGCUUUGACGGGUAGCCGGCCUGAGAGGGUGACCGGCCACAUUGGGACUGAGAUACGGCCCAG